CGAGCGCAUGAGUUGUUCUUGACCUGUGACUACCGGUUGGACCCCCGCUGUUGUGCGGCCGACUGCCGGUGCUAGUGUCUCUUCAAUCGUUGGCUUAAUGUUGGCCUAUGGUUUUGACGAGUGCUUGCGUGCUGCUACCAAUAACACUGGAAGUUGCAUUGCUAAAUGUUGUUUUGCCGUGCAUGCCCUAAGGGCAUGUCACGUCAACUACAAAGCGCUCAUGGCGUUGCCUCGUGUAGCUAGCCGCAUUGUCUAGCUGCAUCAAGGCCACCUCAUGGACGCUAUUGGUCUUGGAUGCGGCCCGCUAUAAAGGCUGACGGUGCUUUGGCAUCUCAUGCCUACAAAAUAUUGUCCGUUCGAAACUACGACAGUUGGCCUGGCUGAUGCCUCGUGCGGAAGUCAGUGCU
rnacentral:misc_RNA from 1 species